CCUACGGGAGGCAGCAGUGGGGAAUCUUGCGCAAUGGGCGGAAGCCUGACGCAGCAACGCCGCGUGCGGGAAGAAGGCCUUAGGGUCGUAAACCGCUUUCAGGGGGGACGAAGCUUCCGGGGUUAAUAGCCUACGGGGUGACGGUACUCCCAAAAGAAGGUCCGGCUAACUACGUGCCAGCAGCCGCGGUAAUACGUAGGGACCGAGCGUUGUCCGGAAUCAUUGGGCGUAAAGAGCGUGUAGGCGGCUUGGUAGGUCUCGUGUGAAAUCCCGCGGCUCAACCACGGAUCCGCACGGGAAACCCCUAAGCUCGAGUCCGGAAGAGGAGAGUGGAAUUCCUGGUGUAGCGGUGAAAUGCGCAGAUAUCAGGAAGAACACCCGUAGCGAAGGCGGCUCUCUGGGACGGUACUGACGCUGAGACGCGAAAGCGUGGGGAGCAAACAGGAUUAGAUACCCUGGUAGUCCACGCCGUAAACGAUGGGCGCUAGGUGUGGGAGGUGUCGACUCCUCCGUGCCGAAGCUAACGCAUUAAGCGCCCGCCUGGGGAGUACGGCCGCAAGGCUAAACUCAAAGGAAUUGACGG
rnacentral:rRNA from 1 species